UCUGGAAAUUCCCCCCAAAAAUUCCCUUGGAAAAACCCCAGAAAAUCCCCCAAAAAUUCUUUGGGAAUUCCCCCAAAAAUGCCUUUGGAAAAUCCCUAAAAAAAAUUGGGGGGAAAAUGAGAAAAAAAAUUGUAAAAAAUGUAAAAAAUGGGACGGGGGAGGGAAAUGGGAAAAUUUGGGUGAAAAUGAGAAAAAAACGGGAAAAAUCUGGAAAAUCCCCGGGAGUCCCCUGGGAAUUCUGUGACAUUCCAGUGUCAUUAAUUAAUUCUGUGUCAUUAAUCCCAGUGUCAUUAUUUAAUUCUGUGUCAUUAAUCCCUUGUCAUUAAUUCCAUGUUGUCAAUUCCGUGUCAUUAAUUCCAUUUUAUUCAUUAAUUCUGUGUCAAUAAUUAAUUCCAACUCAUCAAUUCCAUGCCGUUAAUUCCAUGUCAUUAAUUCCGAGUAAUCAAUUAAUUCCGUGUCAUUAAUCUGAUUCAUUAAUUAAUCCCAGCUCAUUAAUUCCGUGCUCUCCCAGUCUUUGUCCCCUCCGGAUUUUGCCUUAAUUCCGUGUAAUUAAUUAAUUGAUUAAUUAAUUACCCCCCUUGUAAUUAGCUCCAUUAAUGAGCGGCGACCUCUCAGGGCCAGGGUUAAUUAACCCCAUUGAUUAAUUACCCCGGGCUAAUUAAUCCCGUCCAGAAAUCCUUCCAGGUUCGUUAGCCUCAUUCCGGUAAUUAAUUAAUUAAUAGGCAUUCCAGGCUAAUUAAUCCCCAUUCCUUAAUUAUUCCGGAUUAAUUGGCCCACCCCGUUUACUGCCCCAGGUUCAUUACCGCUGUCACUUCAUUAAUUAACCUCAAUUAAUUAACUGCUGCAAUUAAUUAUUUAAGGCUAAAUAGCCCCUCAAUUAAUUAAUUCAGGGCAAUUAAUGAUUAGUUAGCCGAGCUGAUCAUUAAUUAUUAAUUAUUAAAGCUUCAUUACUCCCCCAGAUUUAUUAACUCAGGGCUCAUGGUUGCCAUUAAUUAAUCAAUCCAUGCUAAUGACGUCUGCGGUUAAUAACCAAAGGCUAAUUAAUCACCGUGCUUAAUUAAUUGAUGCUGCUGCUUUCAGGGGCUUAAUUAACCCUAAUUAUUAUUAAUUAAUCAAUGAUUAGAGGCUAAUUAGCCAAUUACUCAUUGGGCUGCUCCAUCGCCCUUUGCGCUGCUCGUUAAUUAAUUAAUUAAUUAAUUAUUAAUCAGACAUUCCAGCUCGUUUACAUUCCAGGACGCCCCUCCCCCCCGGGCCAGUUAAUGAAGUAAUUAAUGAAUUAAUGAUUGAUUAAUGAAAGGGAGGGGUGGGCGUGGCCACGGCCGGCGGUUCGUUAAUGAAAUCUCAUUAAUGCCAAUUAAAUUAAAGGCUGUUUGAAAGUUCGUUAAGAGUCGAGUAUCGUUAAUUAAAAAUUGGUUAAAAUGUCAUUAAGGGUGAAAAAGUUAAUUAAAAGUGUUUUUAAAAGUUAUUUAAGAAUGAAAUUAUUUAAUUUUUUUAAUUAAUUGGGAAUGAAGUUAAUCAAAAGUUUUUUUAAAGUUCUUUAAGGGUGAAAGGUUAAUAAAAAGUGGUUUAAAUGUUAAUUAAGGGUGGAA
ensembl:lncRNA